UUAGUUCCAAAGUAUAGGAGUUUUUUAUCUAUAAAAGGAACCUUAAAUCUGAUAGUAACUAUUAUUAAUAUUGCUUAAGAAUUAGUAACAAGCAAAAACUAAUCGUUCAAAAUGAUGCUAAAAUUUGUCAUCGUUUCCUGCUGUGUUGCACUAGCACUUAGUCAUGCUGUUGGAAAAUGUCCCAGUGUAGAUGGUAGAUAUCCAGUCUACCUUCUGGAUUCAAGAUCCUGUUCAAAAUUCUAUGAAUGUUCGAAUGGCACACCAUAUCAAUUCAAAUGUGCGUAUGGUACAUAUUUCGACAGAUACAGCAGCGUAUGCAAACAUAAAGAAGAUGUCUAUUGUGGCAGGAGAAGGAGAGAUUAGGCCGUAAUUUGAAAAAAAUCAUAUUUUCUUUAAUUUUCAUAGGAGCUGUGUAACACAUAAAGUUGAAUUAUUAAUGUUAAAAGUUAAAACCAGAAUAAAAAAGUAAUUACGUUUA